rnacentral:rRNA from 1 species
GCUUGUCUCAAAGAUUAAGCCAUGCAUGUCUAAGUAUAAAUGUUAUACAGUGAAACUGCGAAUGGCUCAUUAUAUCAGUUAUAGUUUAUUUGAUGGUCCUUACUAUUUGGAUAACCGUAGUAAUUCUAGAGCUAAUACAUGCAUCAAUCCCCGACUUUUGGAAGGGGUGUAUUUAUUAGAUGGAAACCAAUGCGGGGCAACCCGGAAUAUGGUGAAUCAUAAUAACUUUCGGAUCGAUCGCAAGAUCGAUGCAUCAUUCAAGUUUCUGCCCUAUCAGCUUUGGAUGGUAGGGUAUUGGCCUACCAUGGCUUUAACGGGUAACGGAGAAUUAGGGUUCGAUUCCGGAGAGGGAGCCUGAGAAACGGCUACCACAUCCAAGGAAGGCAGCAGG